rfam:Pseudohongiella spirulinae strain KCTC 32221, complete genome.
GUCCCCUUCGUCUAGAGGCCUAGGACACCGGGUUUUCAUCCCGGCAACAGGGGUUCGAAACCCCUAGGGGACG